UACGUAGGGUGCAAGCGUUGUCCGGAAUUAUUGGGCGUAAAGAGCUCGUAGGCGGUUUGUCGCGUCUGCUGUGAAAACUCGGGGCUCAACUCCGAGCUUGCAGUGGGUACGGGCAGACUAGAGUGCGGUAGGGGAGACUGGAAUUCCUGGUGUAGCGGUGGAAUGCGCAGAUAUCAGGAGGAACACCGGUGGCGAAGGCGGGUCUCUGGGCCGUAACUGGACGCUGGAGGAGCGAAAGCGUGGGGAGCGAACAGG
rnacentral:rRNA from 1 species